rnacentral:rRNA from 1 species
GUCAACCUAACCUAUGGACGGGAAUAACCUCGGGAAACUGAGAAUAAUGCCCGAUAGAACACUAUACCUGGAAUGGUUUGUGUUCCAAAUGAUUUAUCGCCGUAGGAUGGGACUGCGGCCUAUCAGUUUGUUGGUGAGGUAAUGGCCCACCAAGACUAUUACAGGUACGGGCUCUGAGAGGAGUAGCCCGGAGAUGGGUACUGAGACACGGACCCAGGCCCUAUGGGGCGCAGCAGGCGAGAAAACUUUGCAAUGUGCGAAAGCACGACAAGGUUAAUCCGAGUGGUUUGUGCUAAACGAACCUUUUGUCGGUCCUAGAAACACCGUUGAAUAAGGGGUGGGCAAGUUCUGGUGUCAGCCGCCGCGGUAAAACCAGCACCUCAAGUGGUCAGGAUGAUUAUUGGGCCUAAAGCAUCCGUAGCCGGCGCUAUAAGUUUUCGGUUAAAUCUGUACGCUCAACGUACAGGCUGCCGGGAAUACUGUAGCGCUAGGGAGUGGGAGAGGUAGACGGUACUCGGUAGGAAGGGGUAAAAUCCUUUGAUCUAUUGAUGACCACCUGUGGCGAAGGCGGUCUACCAGAACACGUCCGACGGUGAGGGAUGAAAGCUGGGGGAGCAAACCGGAUUAGAUACCCGGGUAGUCCCAGCUGUAAACUAUGCAAACUCAGUGAUGCAUUGGCUUGUGGCCAAUACAGUGCUGCAGGGAAGCCGUUAAGUUUGCCGCCUGGGAAGUACGUACGCAAGUAUGAAACUUAAAGGAAUUGGCGGGGGAGCACCACAAGGGGUGAAGCCUGCGGUUC